AAUAAAGUGCCUGAAAAAAAGGAUUAAAUUGUAAAUUUAAAUAUAAUAAUAAAAUUAUUCUUUAUUA
rnacentral:tRNA from 1 species